rnacentral:rRNA from 1 species
UACAGAGGUCUCAAGCGUUGUUCGGAUUCAUUGGGCGUAAAGGGUGCGUAGGUGGCGGGGUAAGUCAGGUGUGAAAUCUCGGGGCUCAACCCCGAAACUGCAUUUGAUACUGCCUUGCUCGAGUACUGGGGAGGAGAUUGGAAUUUACGGUGUAGCAGUGAAAUGCGUAGAUAUCGUAAGGAAGACCAGUGGCGAAGGCGAAUCUCUGGACAGUUACUGACACUGAGGCACGAAGGCCAGGGGAGCAAACGGG